rnacentral:misc_RNA from 1 species
UGUAGGAGCCGGCUUGCUGGCGAUGCAGGCGACUCGGAUUAACGCCUGACCGAGUCGAUUCCAUCGCCAGCAAGCCGGCUCCUACA